GACUCGAAUUACUGCAGAAACUGGGCGUGGCUUCGGUUACUAUGGCAGCAGGGACGCUUUGGCACGGCCUGCGCCCAGCUUAGAGGCCAAUGCUCCUCCGGUCCUUUGCAUGGCACCCAAGAAAGAAAAAGGCGAGGCUGUGAACACCAGUCCUAAGUUAUGGGAGCCCUCGCUCAUAUCUGCACACUUCAAUCAGAACGAUUGGAAGGCCUCCAUCGCUUUUGUGGUUGGGAACCAGAUUGAGGAUGAUCUUCUUAUUCGCGCACUCACUCUUGCUGUCCAGGUCCCUCAGCGAAAACUCUUCACUAUGGUAUUGUGGCAAGACAUUCUUCAGCAGAUCAAUGAAAUAAAUACAAUUGUUGGAGCUCCCUCAUCUAAAAAAGCAAAAAAACCUGGAGGUGUUAGUGUUCCCUUAUUUUAUGAGGUGUUAGUGGCAGCCAAAGCAAUUAUGGAUAGUGGAGAGACAUUAACCUUACCACUGAUAGGAAAACUCUUGAAAUUUCAACUUCUCCAGAUUAAAUUUAAGGACCAACAGCGACGGGAAAAUGAAAAGAAGGUGACAGAAGAAAGAUUUAAGUUAGAAAAAGAAAAAGGGAAAGUAAAAUCUCCCAAAGAGAAGAAGACUUCAAGUGCUAAGCUUGCCAAAGGAAAGGGAAAAGAUCAACCUGAGGCCAACACAACAGUGAAAAAGACCACGCAGUUAAAACGGAGGGGAGAAGAAGAUGACACCAAACGUUACAUUGAUGAUGAGCCAGAUGAUGGUGCCCAAUAUUACAUUAUAGUUGUGGGCUUCAACAAUCCUCAGUUAUUAGCGAUUAUGACUGAGCUUGGUGUUCCUAUAACCAGCGUGAUUAAAAUAUCUUCAGAGAAUUAUGAACCUCUGCAGACACACCUGGCAGCAGUUAGCCAGCAGCAGGAAGUUUUUCUUCAGCCAGAAGGCAUAGAAGCUGAAAAAUUGAGGAAACAGAAUGCCACAAAAGAACUUGAAAUUUUCUGGAAGUACUUGGAACCAAUCCUGAAUAAUGAAAAACCUGAAACAAGUCUCUUUGAUGUUGCUCGACUUGAAUACAUGGUCAAGGAAGCUGAUUUUCCUUCUGACUGGUCAGACAACGAGCUAAUGCUGGAAUUGGGCACUUAUAUUUUUGAAAAUAUUGCCUGUUUGAUGUAUGACACCCUGGAUUGGAAAAGGCAGCACCAGCACUAUCUGGAAAGCACGAAGGUUAUUAAUGUUCCUCAAGUGGUUAAUGAGAAAACUGUCUUAGAAGCCACAUCAACUCCUGAGCCUGUACAACCUGUUACUCCUACCCCUGGAAAGAAGAAAACACAAGAUGAAGAACCACAAGCUGCACCACCAGUGAGUUUUGUCGUCACAACUGAAGUAGACAUGAGAUACUACAAUGAUUUGUUGAAUCCGAUUCCAGAGGAAUUCAUUUCUGUGCCCCUGAUACUGCAUUGUAUGAUUGAACAGGUUGUGGCAACUGAAGAAGAUCUUGUCCCACCCAGUCUGCUGAAGCCACCCGCCAGAGCUGAUGGGCUAGACCACAGAAUUGCAGCUCACAUUGUGUCCCUCCUGCCCUCACUCUGCCUCUCAGAGAGGGAGAAAAAGAAUCUCCAUGAAGUAUUCUUAUCUGAAGAAGAAAACGAAAGCAAAGCGGUGCCCAUGGGCCCUGUCCUACUGAACUACCAUGAUGUACAUGCCCACAAGAAGUAUGCGCUAAAGGACCAAAAGAAUUUUGACCCAGUUCAAAUUGAGGAGGAGAUGCAGUCCAAGUCGCCACUGUGGGAAUUCCUUCAAUUCCCUAUGCCCCCACCAUGGAACAACACUAAACGUCUAGCUACGAUUCAUGAGCUUAUGCACUUUUGUACAAGUGAAGCCUUGAGCUGGAAUGAAGUAGAACGAGCCUUCAAGGUGUUUACUUUUGAGAGCCUGAAGCUCUCUGAGGUUGAUAAAAAAGGGAAACUAAUGCCUUCUAAGAUGAUAAGUGGAACAAAUUCUGAAAUGUUCAACAUACCAUGGGAUAACCCUGCCAGAUUUGCUAAACAGAUAAGGCAACAAUACAUCAGGAAAAUGAGCACCCCAAACGCCAAACAGCAAACAGAUGUUGAAACCAAAGACAGAAUCAUAUUUGUGGAUCCAAAUUGGUCAACAUCUGUGCAAAAUAAGGAGAGCAAUGGAAGACCUUCAGAUCCUAGUCAGACUGUUGCUAAUGGUAUGCAAUAUCCUGACUUGAAUAAUAUGGAAGCCGUAGGCCCUGAUAAUAGAGAGCUGUCAGAGCAGGAGACCAGUGGGAAGACUCAGCCCCAGCCUGAGCCUUUGGAGCAGACCACGAACAAUGAGAUCAAAGAUGAUGCAGUUACAAAGACUGAUUCUUUUGAAAAGAAACCCAAGAAGAUGAUGGUGGAAGCAGAUUUAGAGGACAUAAAGAAAACACAGCAGCGCAGUCUAAUGGACUGGAGUUUUACUGAACAUUUUAAACCAAAAGUACUGCUUCAGGUUCUUCAGGAAGCCCAUCAGCAAUAUAAGUGUGUUGAUUCUUAUUACCAUACCCAAGACAACUCUUUACUUUUAGUCUUUCAUAAUCCGAUGAAUAUACAACGUCAGCAUUGCGAAUAUUGGAAUAUUGCUCUUCACUCCAAUGUUGGAUUCAGAAAUUAUUUGGAACUUGUUGCAAAAUCCAUUCAAGAUUGGAUCACACAAGAAGAAGCUAUAUAUCAGGAAUCUAAAAUGGCUGAGGAAAUCAUUAGGACUAAGGCUGAGUUGGAAUUGAAAUCUACUAGUGCCAAAGUUUCUACUACCAAAAUAUUUUCCCUUAAAAAAUCUAAAAGUAACAAAGGAAUCAGCAAAACAGAGACAUUAGAUCAAGAAAAAGAAAAAGAAAAGGAGAAAGAAAAAAUUCCUUUCAUUUUAGAAGGCUCUCUCAAGGCAUGGAAAGAAGAGCAAGAUCGAUUAGCAGAGGAAGAACGAUUAAGAGAAGAAAAGAAAGCAGAAAAGAAGAGUAAAGAAGCUGGUAGAAAGAAAGGCAAGGAUAAGCCAGAGAAAGAGGAUAGUAAAGCUGUGAAGAAAAAAUCUUCAUUCAAGGAGAAAUCUAAAGAAGAACAAAUCAAGAGCCACGAAGUAAUAGAGGAGUCCCGCCAGCCACCAGAACCUGAGAAAGUUUACCCGUUUCGAGGAUAUAAUAUGGGAAAUAUACCCACCCAAAUCUCAGGGACAAAUUACUAUCUGUAUCCUUCUGAUGGAGGGCAGAUUGAAGUUGAAAAGACAAUGUUUGAAAAAGGCUCAACUUUUAUCAAAGUGAAAGUGAAAAAGGACAAGCACAAUUUUAUAAUUCAUUUAAAAGACCCUAAGGAAAUUACAAAAAAAGAAAAUAAAGAAGAGGAUUAUUAUGCAGAAGAAGAGAAAGAGAAAAAGGAUGAAGAACAAAAUCCUGAAACAGAAGUGUCAUAUGAAAAGAAUAAAGCUGUCAGCAAGUUUGGAUCUUUUUCUGCCACCUUAGAAAAUGGAAUCUGCCUCUCCAUAAGUUACUAUGGAUCAAGUGGAAUGGCGCCAGAAGAUAAAGAUCCUUAUUUAGAAACAAUGUUGAAUAUCCCAUCAGCACUCACUCCAACAGUGGUUCCUGUUAUAGUGAAUGUUCCACAAGGCAAACCUAAAGGGAAAACAAAAGGCAAAGAAAAACCCAAAGAAUCCAUUAAAGAAGAGGAGCAACCAAAAGAAGAAGAGAAAAAGGAAGAAGUAGAACCAGAGCCUGAUUUACAAGAGGAUGUUUAUCUUCCCACCUUCCAAAGCCUAAAUGUGUCUUGCCCCAGUGGGCUUCUAUUGACUUUCAUUGGGCAAGAGCCUACAGGUCAAUCUGUAGCAGCUGAGGAACCCACCUGGGACAUCGUGGUCCGUCAGAGCUACCCCCAGAAGGUGAAGCACUAUGAGUUCUAUAAAACGGUGAUGACACCUGUGGAGCAGGAGGCUUCAAGAGUUAUCACCAGUCAAGGCACCGUUGUCAAAUAUAUGUUGGAUGGAUCCACACAGAUUCUCUUUGCAGAUGGUGCUGUGAGCAGUAGUCCCGAUUCAGGUCCUAUUUAUCCUCCUGAAAUGCCAACAAGCCUUCAUAUUGGAGAUUUGAUGGACUCAAUUACGCAGCCAAAAUCAGAAAUAGCACCAUCUGAAAUGGGCGGCACAAAGAAAGGAAAAGGUCACAAAAAUCAAUCAUCAAUGGCACAUAAGAAUGAAAUCCAUGAACAUCCACCAGAGACAGUGCAAACAAUGACUCCUGUGGAGGUUCACGUAGGCACCUGGUUUACAACUACACCUGAAGGAAAUCGGAUCGGCACCAAAGGAUUAGCAAGAAUUGCAAACUUGGCCCCGUUUUUAUCCUUUCAGGCCACAGAUCCUAUCAAUGGAACGGUUAUGACAACUCGGGAAGACAAAGUGAUCAUUGUUGAAAAGAAAGAUGGUACUCGGAUAGUGGAUCAUGCUGAUGGUACCAGAAUUACAACCUUUUAUCAAGUUUAUGAAGAUCAUAUUAUUCCUCCAGAUUAUCAAGACAUAAGUCCUCAGACUUUCACCAGGCAGGUAAAGUGUAUGCGGAUAGAAAACUCAAACUAUGCCACUAUUAUCACCAACUGUGAGGACACUAGCUGCUGUGCCACCUUUGGGGAUGGAACGUCUAUUAUUGCAAAACCACAGGGAACAUACCAGGUGUUACCUCCAAACACAGGCUCUCUUCACAUUGAUAGAGAUUGUUCCGCUAUAUAUUGCCAUGAAUCAAGCAGUGAUAUAUACCAUCCUUUCCAAAAGCGUGAGCAGCUGAGAGCCAGCAAGUACAUCAUGAAGCACACUUCAGAGGUUGUCUGUGAGGUUCUGGAUCCUGAGGGAAACACUUUUCAGGUCAUGGCUGAUGGUAGUUCAUCAACAAUAUUACCUGAUGAAAAAAUGGAAGAUGAUUUAAAUGUAAAAAAUGAGGGCUAUGAUAGUUUAUCAUACAUUCACCUUCAAAAGAAUCAUCAGCAAAUCUAUGGUGAACAUGUCCCCAGGUUUUUUGUCAUCUAUGCUGAUGGAUCAGGAGUGGAACUUCUUCGAGACAGUGACAUAGAAGAAUACUUAUCAUUGGCAUAUGGAGAAUCAACUACUCUUGUUCUCCAGGAACCAGUGCAGGAACAGCCAGGUACCCUGAGCAUCACGGUCCUUCGCCCUUUUCAUGAAGCAUCACCAUGGCUAACGAAGAAGGAAUUAGAUACAAUUGUUCCUCCUAAUCUCCGUUCAAGGUCAUGGGAAACAUUUCCUGCAGUUGAGAGAAAAACUCCAGGACCUCCAUUUGGCACUCAGAUUUGGAAGGGCCUUUGCAUUGGGACCCAGCAGCUAGUGAAUGCCCCAGCACCUAUACUCAAGGGUCCCAAGGUGCUACAGAUGCGCCAGUUCAUUCAGCACGAGGUCAUAAAGGAUGAGGUGAAACUGGGGCUGCAGGUUUCCCUUAAGAAUUAUAUAAACCAUAUUCUAAAGAAAGAAGAGGAGUUACAGGAAAUGACAGUUAAAGAUUCCAGAACAGAGGAGGAGAGGGGCAAUGCUGCUGAUCUCCUCAAGCUGGUUAUGUCUUUCCCUAAAAUGGAGGAAACUACAAAAAGUCAUGUUACUGAAGUUGCAGCCCACCUAGCUGAUUUAUUCAAGCAAUCUUUGACUGCAACUCUAAAAGUUCCACCUAACAUAUUUGGUAAAGAUUUAUUGGAAAAGAAAUGGAGGUACACACAAUCCUCAAAGCGCUGGAGAGAAAAGAUAGACGAAAAGAGGAAGGAAAUUGAGGUAACACAAAAUUAUCUAAUGGAUAUUAGAAACCGUGUAAUACCACCUUAUUUCAAAUCUGAACUGAGCAAGUUAUAUCAGACUCAGUCUAAUUAUCUGGACAGCCUUUCAAAAAAACUGCCUCCUUUAACAAAGAAAGAUGAAGAUGCAAACAAAACAACAGUUGAAAAUGAAUAUGAGCUUCAUCCAGAUUCCGAACCAUGUAACAUUUCAAAACAGGAAUCUUCACCUGUACCUAAUCUUCCAAAGUCACAGAUUUCUGUGGAUACGAAGAAGUUCACUAGCCAGGAUCAAACUGAAAAUUUAACAAAACCUACCAAAGAACCAGAACCAGAACCAGAACCAGAACCAGAACCAGAACCAGAACGUUGUGUGCCUGUGACCAUUCCAACCCUGUCAUUGCUGCAGGAUGUUGCAGGGCAAGUAAGAAAACAAAAAGUGAAGUUGCCUUAUUAUUUGACGAGUUCCAAGCCCAAGUCUCAACCUCUCAAAAAGGUGCAAGAUUCUGUUGGAGGAAAAGUGAAUACAUCCUCUAUUGCAUCUGCUGCCAUUAAUAAUGCACACUCAUCCCCGUUUGGGUUCCAUCUUCUCCCAUCAUCAGUGAAGUUUGGAGUGCUUAAAGAAGGACACACCUAUGCAACUGUUAUAAAGCUCAAGAAUAUUGGCGUGGACUUCUGCAGGUUUAGAGUGAAGCAGCCCCCACCCAGCACAGGACUGAAAGUCACUUACAAACCUGGGCCUGUGGCACCUGGUUUGCAGGCAGAACUGAAUGUGGAGUUAUUUGCCAUGGCUGUCGGAGAAGAGGGUGCCAAGGGAGUGACACACAUCUCUCACAAUAUUGAGAUUAUGACUGAGCAUGAUGUUCUGUUCUUACCUGUGGAAGCAACAGUUUUAACAAGCAGCAAUUAUGAUGAGCGACCAAAAGAUUAUCCACAGGGAAAAGAAAAUCCCAUGGUCCAGAGAACUUCUAAAAUUGCUUCAACACUUGGAGUCUUCAUGUCUCGUAAAAUUUCUCCACAUUAGGCCCGUGGCUAGUAGCAUCAGCAAAAAACAUAACUUCACUUUUUGCCUCACAUUCUCUCUUGAGAUAAUCAAGACCUGCCAUGUUGAAGCCGAUAACAUCCUGGAGAGGCAUAUAAAGAAGAUUAAACAAACUUCUUCCCACUUCAGUUCAUUAUAGCAGCAUAUUUUCUUCUCGGUAUAGCUCAAUAGCCUCCAUGAUCCUCUCAGCCUACAUGAGUGAUGACAAGGGAUAUCAUCAUUGCAACACACUCCAUCAUCCCAGGAUACUAUAAUUGGAAGGCCUGACUAGAAAUUUACAUAACGAAAUAGCCUGAAUCAGUUUAAUAAAGACGUGCCAAUAGAGUGCCUAACAGCAUUUAAAGACA